UACGUAGGGGGCGAGCGUUGUCCGGAUUCAUUGGGCGUAAAGCGCGCGUAGGCGGCUUCGUAAGUCGGCCGUGAAAUCUCCAGGCUUAACUUGGAGGGGUCGGGCGAGACUGCGGAGCUCGAGGUGGGUAGAGGGCAGUGGAAUUCCGGGUGUAGUGGUGGAAUGCGUAGAGAUCCGGAGGAACACCAGUGGCGAAGGCGGCUGCCUGGGCCUGGCCUGACGCUGAGGCGCGAAAGCGUGGGGAGCGAUCCGG
rnacentral:rRNA from 1 species